rnacentral:rRNA from 1 species
GGGGAUAAUACCCCAUAGACUACAGAUACUGGAAUGUUCUGUAAUCGAAAGGUCCGCCGCCUUAGGAUGGGUCUGCGGCUGAUUAGGUUGUUGUUGGGGUAACGGCCCAACAAGCCUGUAAUCAGUACGGGUUGUGGGAGCAAGAACCCGGAGAUGGAUUCUGAGACACGAAUCCAGGCCCUACGGGGCGCAGCAGGCGCGAAAACUUUACAAUGCGAGAAAUCGUGAUAAGGGAACCCCGAGUGCCCGUAAAUUCGGGCUGUUAAUCUGUUUAAAAAGCAGGUGGAGAAAGGGCCGGGCAAGACCGGUGCCAGCCGCCGCGGUAAUACCGGCGGCUCGAGUGGUGGCCACUAUUACUGGGCUUAAAGCGUCCGUAGCUGGAUUGUUAAGUCUCUUGGGAAAUCUACCGGCUUAACCGAUAGGCGUUCAAGGGAUACUGGCAAUCUAGGGACCGGAAGAGGUGAGAGGUACUCCAGGGGUAGGAGUGAAAUCCUGUAAUCCUUGGGGGACCACCUGUGGCGAAGGCGUCUCACCAGAACGGCUCCGACAGUGAGGGACGAAAGCUGGGGGAGCAAACCGGAUUAGAUACCCGGGUAGUCCCAGCUGUAAACGAUGUGCGUUAGGUGUAUCGGUGACCACGAGUCACCGAGGUGCCGAAGAGAAAUCGUGAAACGUACCGCCUGGGAAGUACGGUCGCAAGGCUGAAACUUAAAGGAAUUGGCGG